rnacentral:rRNA from 1 species
AUGUGUUUUUUACAUAGUGUUGCAUGGUUCUCCUACUGGAUUGAUAACCUUGGUUCCAUAUCUGAGGGAAAUACUUAUCUCUACUGUACUAUGAUACGUCUCCAACGUAUCUAUAAUUUUUUAUUGUUCCAUGCUAUUAUAUUAUCUGUUUUGGAUAUUUUCUAUGCAUUAAUAUGUUAUUUUAUAUUUUUUGGGACUAACUUAUUAACCCAGUGCGUAGUGUCAGUUUCUCUUUUUUCAUUGUUUCUGGCUUUUACAAGAAAGGAAUAUCAAACAAAGUCCAAACAGAAUAAAACUUUAUGA